rnacentral:lncRNA from 1 species
GAUUUUUCAGCCCAAUCAGAAAAGGGAAGGCCCAUUUCCCCUCCCAUCCCUUCCCCCCGCGCGCCGCUCCUCCUCACCGAGCCGCCGCCGUCGCUCCUCCUCGCCCCACUGCCGCCGUCGCCGCUCCUCCUCCUCCUUGCCCGUCGGCCGUGGAUGCAGAAGACGAAGGAGGUGAGGUGGUUGACGGCGGCGGAGUCACCGUUGCCUCCUCCUCCCGACGCCGUCGCCCCUUCGCCCGUCGGCCGUGGAGGGGGGAGACGAGGGAGGUGAGGUGGUCGACGGCGGCGGCGUCACCGCUGCCUCCUCCAGGCGCCGCCGCCCCUUCGCUCGUCAGCCUCCCCGCGUGCGUCUGCCUCCCCGCCGUAGCCGAGAAAUUUGGGAUUUUUUUUUAGAGAAGAAAUUUGGGAUUUUAGGGUGUGUUUCGGAAAUGGGUUAGGAGA